AUUGAACGCUGGCGGCAGGCCUAACACAUGCAAGUCGAACGAGUGGCGGACGGGUGAGUAAUGUCUGGGAAACUGCCUGAUGGAAGGGGAUCACUACUGGAAACGGUCGCUAAUACCGCAUACCAUCGGAUUUGCCCAGAUGGGAUUCGCUAGUUGGGGGGGUAAAGGCUCAACUAGGCGGCGAUCCCUAGCUGGUCUGAGAGGAUGACCAGCCAGACGGGAACUGAGACACGGUCCAGACUCCUACGGGAGGCAGCAGUGGGGAAUAUUGCACAAUGGGCGCAAGCCUGAUACAGCCAUGCCGCGUGUAUGAAGAAGGCCUUCGGGUUGUAAAGUACUUUCAGCGGGGAGGCGUUACCCGCAGAAGAAGCACCGGCUAACUCCGUGCCAGCAGCCGCGGUAAUUC
rnacentral:rRNA from 1 species